UGAUCCUGGCUCAGAACGAACGCUGGCGGCAUGCCUCAUACAUGCAAGUCGAACGAGAAGGUACCUCGGGUAUUGGACAGUGGCGAACGGGUGCGUAACGCGUGGGAACUUACCGUAUAGUGGGGGACAACAGUUGGAAACGACUGCUAAUACCGCAUACGCCCUUCGGGGGAAAGCUUUAGUGCUAUACGAUAGGCCCGCGUUAGAUUAGCUAGUUGGUAAGGUAAUGGCUUACCAAGGCGACGAUCUAUAGCUGGUUUGAGAGGAUGAUCAGCCACACUGGGACUGAGACACGGCCCAGACUCCUGCGGGAGGCAGCAGUAGGGAAUAUUGGACAAUGGGGGCAACCCUGAUCCAGCAAUGCCGCGUGUGUGAAGAAGGCCUUAGGGUUGUAAAACACUUUCAACUGUGAAGAUGAUGACUGUAACAGUAGAAGAAGCUCCGGCUAACUCCGUGCCAGCAGCCGCGGUAAUACGGAGGGAGCUAGCGUUGUUCGGAAUUACUGGGCGUAAAGAGCACGUAGGCGGCUAGAUGCGUCAGGGGUGAAAUCCCGAGGCUUAACCUCGGAACUGCCUUUGAUACGGUCUAGCUAGAAUAUCGUAGAGGUUAGUGGAAUUCCAAGUGUAGAGGUGAAAUUCGUAGAUAUUUGGAAGAACAUCAGUGGCGAAGGCGACUAACUGGGCGAUUAUUGACGCUGAGGUGCGAAAGCGUGGGGAGCGAACGGGAUUAGAUACCCCGGUAGU
rnacentral:rRNA from 1 species